rnacentral:rRNA from 1 species
CAAGUCGAGCGGCAGCGGGAAGAAGCUUGCUUCUUUGCCGGCGAGCGGCGGACGGGUGAGUAAUGUCUGGGGAUCUGCCUGAUGGAGGGGGAUAACUACUGGAAACGGUAGCUAAUACCGCAUAACGUCGCAAGACCAAAGUGGGGGACCUUCGGGCCUCACACCAUCGGAUGGACCCAGAUGGGAUUAGCUAGUAGGUGGGGUAAUGGCUCACCUAGGCGACGAUCCCUAGCUGGUCUGAGAGGAUGACCAGCCACACUGGAACUGAGACACGGUCCAGACUCCUACGGGAGGCAGCAGUGGGGAAUAUUGCACAAUGGGGGAAACCCUGAUGCAGCCAUGCCGCGUGUGUGAAGAAGGCCUUCGGGUUGUAAAGCACUUUCAGCGGGGAGGAAGGCGAUGGCGUAAAUAGCGCCAUCGAUUGACGUUACCCGCAGAAGAAGCACCGGCUAACUCCGUGCCAGCAGCCGCGGUAAUACGGAGGGUGCGAGCGUUAAUCGGAAUUACUGGGCGUAAAGCGUACGCAGGCGGUCUGUUAAGUCAGAUGUGAGAUCCCCGGGCUCAACCUGGGAACUGCAUUUGAAACUGGCAGGCUAGAGUCUCGUAGAGGGGGGUAGAAUUCCAGGUGUAGCGGUGAAAUGCGUAGAGAUCUGGAGGAAUACCGGUGGCGAAGGCGGCCCCCUGGACGAAGACUGACGCUCAGGUACGAAAGCGUGGGGAGCAAACAGGAUUAGAUACCCUGGUAGUCCACGCUGUAAACGAUGUCGAUUUGAAGGUUGUGGCCUUGAGCCGUGGCUUUCGGAGCUAACGCGUUAAAUCGACCGCCUGGGGAGUACGGCCGCAAGGUUAAAACUCAAAUGAAUUGACGGGGGCCCGCACAAGCGGUGGAGCAUGUGGUUUAAUUCGAUGCAACGCGAAGAACCUUACCUACUCUUGACAUCCAGAGAACUUGGCAGAGAUGCUUUGGUGCCUUCGGGAGCUCUGAGACAGGUGCUGCAUGGCUGUCGUCAG